CAGGGGCUUAUGCUUUAAAUUAACUUCUUCAUUCAAAAUCAUCGAGUACAGGAGUAUACUUUCUAGUUAUUAAGAAGCACCACCAGUUAUUAAGGAGACUCCUGUUCUAGUUCAAGAUUCUGCAAAGAUUAAAGAAGUACCACCAGGUUCUUUCUCUUUUUCUCCUAUUAAAUUUGCAGCCCCAAAUCGGAAGUUACUGGAACUAGACCAGAUGUUGAGAAUUUGAUACUUGGAAAAUAGAUGAAAAAUGAAAAAAUAUAAGGAGGCAGAGAAGCCUGAGGCAGAGGAUCAAUUCAUGACCCCACUGUUUGAAUCAAUGGACACAAUAAUGAUGAAUGGUUUCUAUACAGAUGAAGUUCCAAUUUUAGAACCUAAUUAAGCAACUUUAUUGUAUAUUUUGACUUAAUUAGAGGACAAUAGUUGAUGUAUCAAUACACUUUGUUGAUGUAUGGUUGUUACUUGUUAUUAUAAUUGAUGUAUCAAUACUUUGUUUAUAUUUUGAAAUAUAUUGACUUGUUUGUU